GUCUCUGUAGCGCAAUGGAUAGCGCGUUGGACUUCUAAUCCAAAGGUCAUGGCUUUGAGUCCUACCUGGGAUG